rnacentral:tRNA from 1 species
AAUUCUUUAUUUUAUUUAGAAUAAUAUAUUUACAAUAUUUAGGUUAUAGAAUUG